rnacentral:rRNA from 1 species
GACGAACGCUGGCGGCGUGCUUAACACAUGCAAGUCGAACGGAAAGGCCCUGCUUUUGUGGGGUGCUCGAGUGGCGAACGGGUGAGUAACACGUGAGUAACCUGCCCUUGACUUUGGGAUAACUUCAGGAAACUGGGGCUAAUACCGGAUAGGAGCUCCUGCUGCAUGGUGGGGGUUGGAAAGUUUCGGCGGUUGGGGAUGGACUCGCGGCUUAUCAGCUUGUUGGUGGGGUAGUGGCUUACCAAGGCUUUGACGGGUAGCCGGCCUGGGAGGGUGACCGGCCACAUUGGGCCUGAGCUACGGCCCAGACUCCUACGGGAGGCAGCAGUGGGGAAUAUUGCACUAUGGGCGGAAGCCUGAUGCAGCAACGCCGCGUGCGGGAUGACGGCCUUCGGGUUGUAAACCGCUUUCGCCUGUGACGAAGCGUGAGUGACGGUAAUGGGUAAAGAAGCACCGGCUAACUACGUG